rnacentral:lncRNA from 1 species
UUGGUUUUUUAUAUACCCUUGGGUUGCGGUCGAGCUGGUUCUGGUGACUAGCUAGAUCAAAGACGCUGACGAUGACAAGUGGUUGCUGUCCUUCGUUGUAGAACCACUGUGCUACACCGGGUGUGGUGGCAAUGGUGUCGCCGCUCCUUAUGUGCUCCACUUUCUGGUGCAUGUCGUGGAACCUUUGGCUUUGCUCUUCUUCUUCACCCUGACCCUCGUACUGUCGUCUGCCUUCGCGNNNNNNNNNNNNNNNNNNNNNNNNNNNNNNNNNNNNNNNNNNNNNNNNNNNNNNNNNNNNNNNNNNNNNNNNNNNNNNNNNNNNNNNNNNNNNNNNNNNNGAUUACCUUUCCCAUAAGACCUCUUCCUAUAGUGUAACAAGUAAUUUACAUAGGUUUUAACGACAUGAACCGUAGUGUCAUGAAUUCAAAUCUCAAAAUAGAAAGAAUCGUACGUACCUUGAGCCACGAAAGAGAGCUUCGCGGUGUUGACGAAAGAAGGCAAGUAUAGACCCUUAGACUCGAUGACAUAACGGACGAAGGAGACGCCUGAGCAUCGGAGCUGAGGAGCAUGGUGAUCCCACACCUCGAUGCGACCAGCCUCACUCUUCAGUACGUGUGAAGGCUCGAGCGCAUUGAGCUGUUCGAGCUGGCACUCGUUAGGAAACUGCUGAGCUGUGUAGCCAUGUAAAAAGACCAAAAGUGUUAAGGACAAAGAAAGAAGAGAAGAGACUCUAGCCAUUUUGUGUUAUGUUUUCUUACUUUUUUGUGGUUUCUCACUUACGAUAUGUGAAGCUAUUUAUAAAAGAAUUAUUUGAAUUUUGUUUAUUAACGUUGUAGAUUAAAAUAAGAACCAGGUAUAUAGAAUCGACUAUGUACAAUUCACACUUCACUUGAAUCGCUACUUUUGGCUUCAUACUGUACAGAAAACAUAUUAAUGAACAAAGUCGACACAUUUCAAUUUGCAUGGCUUAUUCUUGUGCAUGUUCUUACACAUCAUCUUUGAGGUAGGCACAUCUAUUAGCAACGAAACAAAUCUUUUUUUUUUCACUGUCAAGAUUUUAAAAAGAGAGAAAAAUCUGUUAGUUUCCAAAAUUAUGUUCAGUCAAUACCAUACAAUCAUGAAAUCAUUAUUGAUCGUGAAACCCGUAACACAAUCUUUUCAUAAUAAUGUAACACAAAUUGAUGACAAAAAUAAUAAUAAUGUAACACAAAAAAAAAAAAUUAGAAAGUUUUGAAAAUGUAAUGCUGUUUUGAAUUUGAUGAUCUGUUUUAUGUGUUUCCUUCAGAAUUGGUUGCAUUGUCUUCUUUUUUUUUUUGGUUUUCUAUUUUUGCUAAGAUUGCUAAAUAUUUAUCGUAUUUAUUUUCUGAUAAAGGUAUGGUAAAUUCUCCUAAAAUGACAUUUUCCCCAAAAAUACCAUUAUUAAUUCUAUUUUACAAAGACAUAAAAUAUUUGUUUCUCCAAACAUAAAACUAAAACUAAAACUAAAAUCCAACCUUCAAAACUAAACCCUAAAUCUUAAACAAUACAAUUUAUCCUCUAAAUCUAAAAUAGUCGACACAUACCUAACUAAACAAAACUCCACCCCUUUAAAAUUUAGCUUUUGGUGUUUGUCAUAUUUUGGAAAACAAAGUUUUUAGUAGUGUUAUUGAGAUAGUGGUAUUGAGAUUUGAGAACUGGAUACGAUUCCGUGGAAGUUUUGCGUUCUAGCUUGCCAUGGUGAGGUCUCAAUUUGAGCGUUUAGUAACCAAGAUACGAUUCCGCCGAAGUUCUUGUCCGAGUAUUGGAAUGCGAAAUCCAAUCGGCCAACAAUGUGUGACAAGGUAAAUCAGAAAGAGUUGAAUUGAUGUCACUGUCCAUUUAGUGGGAAUUGGAUCAUGUUGUUGAGGACCAUUUUUUGCAUGGUAAUCUCAAAAACGUGUUACAAGAACCGGAGCUCUCUAGUGUUCUGCAAAUUUUGAAAUCCAAAAAUUUCAAUAUUAUCGGAGCACAAGGUGAGAAAUCUUUGACAUAAUGUUCGAUUUAGGAUAUUUCAUAAUGUGAUUAUUCUCUUUGACUGUAUAGUACUAUGUUGAAGUGAUAAGAGAUAUAGAAUACAAAGAAUACUAAAAAAACUUGGUUCAAGUAGAGUUAUUCAGUGGCAAAAUAUAAGAAAAUAUAAGAAGACGAUCGAGGAAAACAAAAAGAGAUUUUAUUCAUAAAAGGAGUUGCAUUUUACAGGUAAAACUUCGACAAAACCAGUUACUUUUUUAUUACUAGCUACUACUAUUUAGCUUCCUUUUACAGGCCUCAUUGUUAAACGCCGCCAUUUUAAGCUCUUACGCUGCAGCCACCCUUGGCCUUCCGUAGCUAGCUGGACCACUGCUGUGAGUCAAAGUGGUCUCGAGUGUGUUGAACUUGACCCUCUUUGCUUCUUCGGGUGAGAUCUCGAAUCCAUUGGUUAUGACAGCCAAUGGUAAACCUCUCAUGACUGAGGUUCUCCCGGCAAGAGUGUUGAUUUGUGCGUUUGCGUUUGUUUUGAACUCGACCCACCUGAACUGGUCGCUUGUUGCACGUUUCACAACGGAGAAACCCUGAGGUACAACAAUAAGCUGUCCUUGAGAGACUUGUCCGUCGAACACUCUGUCACCGUUGUCGUUUACGAUCUGAAGUUGUGCUUCUCCGUCUGUCACGUAAAGAACAGCAUUGGCGUUUGCGUUCCACUGUGGAAGCACCAUUGCGUUCUACACCCACACACGUUUCAAGAGUCAAGUUUAAAUGUGGAAAUGAACAUAUUAUUAUAGCGAACCAAAACCUAAACCGAGCUAAACAUUCAAAAUGUCCACGUCCACCCCAUGCAUACAUAUAUAUAUAUGCAUGCAUUCAUAUGUUAAUUACUUGGUUCUAGCUAGUCAGAUAAUAUUUUUAUUUAACUUACUUGACGGAUAGAUCCACGGAGAGCUGAGAGACGGAUGAAGCGAAGGAUGGGGAGAUCGUAACUGUUGAGAGUGCUGAGGUAACCAAGCUGUGGCUUGUACACGUCAGCACGAGACGGGUCAUCGAGGUUAUCAACGGACCUGGCACUGCAUAUGGUCUCUUCUAAGCCGUUACCUUCUCUUUCUUCCUCCUGAGGUCUCUGUCCUCUCAAAGGUGGCCUAAUGACACCGAAUGGGCCUUUGACUCGGACAAUGUUUCCACGGUUGUCUUGUUGGUUCUGAAGUUGUUGCGCUGUCUGAAGGUCAAUCUUGAAAGCUUGAGCAAUAACCUCUGGUCCGAAUCCACUGAAAAUGUUCUUUUGUGGCCCUUGCUCUCGGCCCUGUAACCAGACUUGGCCUUGUGGGUUGUUUCCGGCUAAGUAAAAUGGCUACAUAACACAACAAAAAACCCACGUCACGUUUUGUUAUUUUAGGACUACAUAAUUAAUGUUUAUUUUUUAUUUUUUGAGGUUUGGCUUUUUAUAUACCCUUGGGUUGCGGUCGAGCUGGUUCUGGUGACUGGCUAGAUCAAAGACGCUGACGAUGACAAGUGGUUGCUGUCCUUCGUUGUAGAACCACUGUGCUACACCAGGUGUUGUGGCGAUGGUGUCGCCGCUCCUUAUGUGUUCCACCUUCUGGUGCAUGUCGCGGAAUUGGCUCUGCUCUUCUUCACCUUGACCCUCGAACUGUCGUCUGCCUUCGCGUGGUUGGAACACUGAUGAGUCUUGGAAUGUCUCGGCGCAUCCGGGGAUCACCUUUCCCAUAAG